CCGGUCGGAGGGGGCAGCGUGAGCGCCACGGCACGGGGGCGGGGCCUGGCGCGUCCGCCGAGCGCGGGGGUUUGUUUAUUUUCGCUGUUGGUAGCGGCGCUGGUUAGAGGUUCGCCGGUGACGUGAGCGCCCGAGUUGGGGGAGAGGACCAGAACCACCUGCUGGAGAAGGUCGUAGUGGACUAAUUUUACAGGCGAAGUUAAGUGACGUAUCCAAAACUUCACAGCUAAUAAACGACAGAGCCGGCACCCAGCUUUCCAAUUCUGUGAGCUUACCAGCGCAUCACAUUAUCUCCAUAAAUCCCCCUGAUUCAACUAAUAUUAGACGCCCCACAGCUGGACCCUGGACAUGGUGACUCUGAUUCAAUUAUGCAGAUGACCACAAGCCUCUGGGGUUGGCAGAUCCACAAGAAAGAAGGUGCCUGGAUGAAGGAGAGCUACCCACUGACCUGAACACCCAAUUAUGAAAGAUCUCACACUAUAGACUACAAAUGCCAAAUCACCUACUGUGCUCAUACCACCCUCAACCUAGAAAUAAAAUAGAAACGAUUCCUAAAGAAACAGUUGUAAAAAUAACCAGGUAAAAUUUUAUCAACAACAACAAAAAAGUAGUUGGGGUUUCUGCUCAUUAAAUUAGUUUGUAUGGGUAAGCACCACCUAAGUUUCUUGAUUCAUGGCAUGUGUUCUUAAACCAAUUUACUAUCCACUAAAAAUAAAUAGUCAUCAAUAUAUAAAAAGUUGUAUUUCUUGACACUAGCAAUGAACCAUCUGAAAAUGAAAUUAAGAACACAAUUCCACUUACAGUAGCAUCAAAAAGAAUAAAAUAUUUAGAAAUAAAUUUAACCAAAGAAGUGUAAGACAUGUACACUGAAAACUAAAAAACAUGGUUAAAAGAAUGGAAAGACAGCCCAUGUUCAUGGAUUGGAAGACUGAAUAUUGCUAAGAUGGCAGUACUCCCCAAAUUGAUCUACAGAUUCAAUGCAAUUCCUAUCAAAAUUCCAUGUCCCACUUUGUAGAAAUGGACAACUGUUCCUAAAAUUCAUAUGGAAACUUAAGGGACCCCAAAUAAUGAACAGAUGUUGGAAAAGAAGAACAAAGUUCAUGGAUUCACACUUUGACUUCAAAAUUUACUAUAUCAUAAUCAAGACAGUGUGGUACGGUCUGUCAUAGGACAGACACAUAGACCAAUGGAAUAAAAUUGAGUCCAGAAAUAAACCUGUGUGGUCAAUUGGUUUUCAACAAAUGUAUGAAGACAAUUUAAUGAGGAAAGAAUAGUUUUUUUCAACAAAUUGUAUUGACACAACUGGAUAUCUGCAUGCAAAAUAAUGAAGUUGGACCCUUAACUCAUACCGUGUACAAAAACUAAUUCAAAAUUGAACAAAGACCCAAAUGUAAGACUUAAAACUGUGAAGUGCUCUUGUCCUUCCAUCAAAGCUGGUUGGAUGUGAUUUCCGUGUUCAGAUACAAUUUAUGAUACUUGCUUCUUUUGAGCAUGCAUACAUUAGAAGAGCAUUUUUUGAUCAGUAUGUUUACAUGUAGUUCUUACAGCUUUAUAUAUGUGUGAGCUCAGAAACAUAUUUCUAUCUGAAAAAGCACCCCUAAUUUUCUAUUUCCUUACCCUGCUUUACUCUCUCCAUAAGUAAUAUCACUGGACUAUAAGUUCCUUGAGGGAGAGGGCUUUUCGUUUUCAACUCUAUCAGCAAAAAUAUAAAGGUUGAUAGAAAAUAUAAAGCAGGAAAAUGCCUAUAAAUUAAAAGCCUGUAGAAAUUUCCAUUUUUACAUUUUAGCAUUUACAUAUAGAUGCCAUUUUUUUAAUAUUUUUAGAAAAUAAAUAACUUUAGCUACCAGCCCACCCUUUGGAAGAGGUACAGAUUAUUUCCCAUAUAAGAACUAAACCCCACGGUACUGGCCCAUGUCUUGAAGGGUGAAGGGCCAACUGAACUCACAUAAUCAAAUGCUUAAACCUAGCUUCCUUUCUCAUGGGAGAUACUGAAUUUUGUAAUAAACCUUACUAAGAAUACCUCAUACCACUUAAGGUAACUCAGGAAAACUGUUAGUAUUCUUCUUUUCUGAUUUAUUUGUUCGCAAUCCACUAGAAUACUUAAUGAUUGUAGGUUCUAUUACCCUUAAAGUCUUGACCUUCUCCUUCCUUGGCUGCUCAGGUCAUAGGUGCUGUGAUCUAGAGACAAAAUAUUCCUUACACUGGCAGAUACUUGCAAACUAAGGGGAAUGAGCUUCCCCCUGAAUGUUUAUGAAGGAGAGGCCACUGUGGUAAUGUUAACUUUAAUACACUUGUUGUAUUUAGGAGCUAAAAGUCUCAGAUGCUAAAUGAGGACUGAUUUGCUUUUUAUUUGAUCCUAUACAUGUGCAAAAAAAUUAACUUCUUCUUUUAUAGUUUCUUUGGGGAAAAAUAGUUUAAAAUUCUUAUCAGUUUUAAGAAAAGUUAUUUUCCAGCCAUAGUUCAAUAGCUCACAAAUGUAACUGUUACUAAAAAAAAAGUAAUAAAUAGCCAAAAACUAGUGGCCAAAGAUCCAGUAAAAAACAUCUUCUUUCACUCAUAAAUCAAAGAAAUAGUCAUGAAGCACUUCUAUGCAUAUAAAAAUAGAUUCAGCAAGUCUUUAAAAUAUUUUUGCUAGAAUUCACAUUAAUCUUCCCAGAGAAUACUCUUAUUUAUACUGUUGAAACAUACAUACAAAACGUACAUACAAAACAUAUGUACAAAACAUACAUACAAAAUUGGGAAUUUGUUUAGAAGAUAUAUAUAACUAAAACUGAGAAUUUGUUUAGAAGAUGUCUUAUGAUUUGCACAUAUAUAAAAUAAACAACCAUGUGUGCCAAACAGUUAUCCCAUUUUGACAUCCAACUGUAUGGAAAACCUACUUAUAAUUUAAUCGUAAACAUAUAUGAUGUUUCAGUUUUCAAAGUGCUUUCAUUUGAUAAAGCAUUUAUUUGAUAAAGCAUUUAUUUGAUAAAGCAAGACUAUGUAACAAAAAUAUUUACUAUGUAACAAAAAUAGUAAUUUCCCUCCUAAUUACUUUGUGUUUCAUUUGAAAAAUAUGAUUUUGAUAUCAAAUGCAGGGUAGUGAUUCAUAAAUAGUUUUUUAAAGGCUGUUUGGUUUAGAAAAUAUCAUUUAAUGUACUCUAUUAAUAAAAUUAUAGCCUGUGUCAUUCUAGUCAUGUCUAACAGCUGAUGACACCUGGAGCUAGCUAGGAAACUGUCUAGUGAAACAGAUGGGCUUAGCCCCAGGCCUUGAAUGGAACAAUUCAGAUGCUGUCCAACCCUCCCAGGUGAUGGGAAUUUCAAAAGGAGAUUAACUCCUCAGUAUUAAAAUACCUUGCCCUGUUCCCAUUAUUCCCAUCUAGAAAAAGCAUGCUAGAAAGUAACAACAAAACUUUGACUUUAAUAGUUAUAAAUUAUGAAAAUUAUCAGUUAGUUGAACUCAGAUAACUCCUCACUCCUUUUCAUUCCUAGAGGAUAGACAGUGAAGUGCAACUACAGUCUGCAGAUGAAAAUGAAUAACAUUAAUCCAGCCCCUCAAGGCAGGCGAGUAGCUGCUGGUUUGUAAUCUUGAAUUAAAGUUUUUUUAUACACAGGUUUUUCGGUAGACAAAUUCAGGGACAUUUUAGCAGAGGGAAAAAAAUAAGCAAAAUAGUUGAGAUAUCAUUGUUUUAUAAAAAUAAAUCCCAUUUUGCCUACAGCAAUAUUUUGUUUGUUUUGGCAUAUCAUUCAUGGUUCUUCAAAGGUAAAAUCACUUAAGUCCUAAGUGCUUUCCUUCAGUGUAUGUUGUUAAGCCAUUGGAAUUUACCACAAACUGCUAUUUCUUAUAAUUCUCUAUUGAAUGGCUCCACAAUUUCUAUUCAAAUUCAGUCUAGGAUGGCUUCUUUUCAUAAUAUCCUGAGUGAAUAGUAAACAUAGGAAAAGGAACCAGUAUAAAAAUAUACCAGUAUGAAAAAUAAA